UCCUACGGGAGGCAGCAGUGAGGAAUAUUGGUCAAUGGGCGAAAGCCUGAACCAGCCAAUCCGCGUGCAGGAUGAAUGCCCUAUGGGUUGUAAACUGCUUUUGUACGAGAAGAAAUCCCUGACGUGUCAGGGGCUGACUGUACCGUACGAAUAAGCAUCGGCUAACUCCGUGCCAGCAGCCGCGGUAAUACGGAGGAUGCAAGCGUUAUCCGGAUUUAUUAGGUUUAAAGGGUGCGUAGGCGGAAUAGUCAGUCAGUGGUGAAAUCCUACAGCUUAACUGUAGAACUGCCAUUGAUACUGCUAUUCUUGAGUUCAGUUGAGGUAGGCGGAAUGUGUAGUGUAGCGGUGAAAUGCUUAGAUAUUAGGUAGAACACCUGAGGCGAAGGCGACUGUCUGGCUCAUAACUGACACUGAAGUGCGAAAGCAUGGGUAGCGAACAGGAUUAGAUACCCUGGUAGUCCACGCCGUAAACGAUGAGUGCUAAGUGUUAGAGGGUUUCCGCCCUUUAGUGCUGAAGUUAACGCAUUAAGCACUCUGCCUGGGGAGUACGGCCGCAAGGCUGAAACUCAAAGGAA
rnacentral:rRNA from 1 species